AACGAACGCUGGCGGCAGGCCUAACACAUGCAAGUCGAGCGCACCUUCGGGUGAGCGGCGGACGGGUGAGUAACACGUGGGAACGUACCCAUUCCUGCGGGAUAGCCUCUGGAAACGGAGAGUAAUACCGCAUACGCCCUUUGGGGGAAAGAUUUAUCGGGGAUGGAUCGGCCCGCGUCUGAUUAGGUAGUUGGUGGGGUAACGGCCUACCAAGCCUACGAUCAGUAGCUGGUUUGAGAGGAUGAUCAGCCACACUGGGACUGAGACACGGCCCAGACUCCUACGGGAGGCAGCAGUGGGGAAUCUUAGACAAUGGGGGCAACCCUGAUCUAGCCAUGCCGCGUGAGUGACGAAGGUCUUAGGAUCGUAAAGCUCUUUCGCUGGGGAAGAUAAUGACUGUACCCAGUAAAGAAGUCCCGGCUAACUCCGUGCCAGCCGCCGCCGUAACAC
rnacentral:rRNA from 1 species